rnacentral:lncRNA from 1 species
UAACAGCAACUUUGGGACGAAUUCCACUCUACCAGACACAGCUGGGAGCAGAACAAUCCCAGAUACCUCUUCGGAAUAUGGCUAGGGAGGAGUCCUGCUUCGAAGGAUUGAGAAGAGAUUGAAAUAAGAGCUCCCAAGGCAAAUUGAGAAGUGGGGAAUGUGCUUCCAUUGAGAAAAAUGAAAGACAGACCCUAUCGGCACCUCCCCUAUGAUUGAAAGAGGAACCUCUGGGCAAGGCAGAGGAGAGACAUUUGUGCUUUCAUAGUUUGUAGUGGGAAUCAGCC